GAAUGCAAAAUUUGCAAAUUAAUAGACCCAAUCGCCCGCCUUCAAACCCCAGUGGUAGUCCUAGGCCUAGUGCAACGCCUUCUGGGCAGCAGCCACCUCCUUUUGCUGGUGUGCCACCUGAGAGUCGUCCAGGACCUCCUCCACCUGGCGCAUUCCAAAGGGGUCCUACGCAAGCUACAUUGCCUCCCAAUUUAAUUUCUAGACCAUCUGGCCCUCCUUCUGUGGGUCAACCUACACCACCCUUUGCAUCUAGGCCGCCUCUUGCUGGUGCAGUGCCUCCUUCUGUGGGUGGUACUGCCAUUCGCCCGCCACCUAGUGCUUUGCCUUCUGCACAAGGUCCUCGUGCCGGCCCACCAGGACCUUUUGCUGCUUCAACAAGCCCUCUUGUGCCGCCUUCUGGUGUUUCUAGUUCAGCUAGUAAUGGUCCACCUGCACUUGGUCCGGGGACAAUGCAGAAUGGACCACAUUUUUCUCCGGCAAGCAAUACAAUGAGGCCACCAGCUGGAGCUCCUCCAUCAGCAAUGUUAUCAUCUGGAAAUCCUUCUCACCCUCCAAGGAUGCGUUCACCCUUUGGAAGUCCACCUGCCAGCACAACAUCAGUUACUGCACAACCGCCACCUCCAUUUCCGGGAUCAGCUCACAAUGUGCCACCUCCUUCAGGUUCCUUCCCCUUUGCAUCACCAGUCCCAGCCAUGCCUCCUCCUAUGAGUGCUGCUUAUGGAAUGCAGACAUGGCACACGCA
rnacentral:lncRNA from 1 species